UGAACUCAUUGAGAGUUGAGGCAGUGCAGUUUCGGCUGUAAGUGCUUAGACUAAUAAACUUAGAUUCAGUAUCUGGGCUCAGGCGGGACCACCCGCUGAACUUAAGCAUAUCACUAAGCGGAGGAAAAGAAACUAACUAGGAUGGCCUCAGUAACGGCGAGUGAAGCGGCCAGAGCCCAAGAUGGAAAUCUCCGUGCUGUGCACGGCGAGUUGUAAUCUAGAGAGGCUAUACUCACCGGAAUCCGACGCAGAAGUGCCCUCGAACGGGCCGCCAAAGAGGGUGAUAGCCCCGUAUGUGGUGUUGGAUUCUAACGAGUAGGUCUUCAAAGAGUCGGGUUGUUUUGGAUAGCAGCCCUAAGCGGGAGAUAAACUUCUUCUAAGGCUAAAUAUAUGUGGGAAACCGAUAGCGAACAAGUACUGUGAAGGAAAGAUGAAAAGCACUUUGGAAAGAGAGUCAAAAGACCUGAAACCGUUGAGGAGGAAGCGGUAGAGAUGAAUUCUACUGAGUGUUUCUGGGAAGCUGGCCUAAGCAUGGCAGGCGGGUCGUACGUCAAAGGCGGCUGUUUGUCUAAGUGGAAGCCAGUGACUUGAAGUGCUUAGUGAGAUCGGAUGGAGCGAUUCAGUUUCAAAAGUUGAGCAUACUUCACUUGCUUGCAGGUAGUUUGUUUAUACUGGAGACUGAAUGGCUUGAGGGUGCCUUGUGCGAUCCGGUCAAAAUGGUCUCUACCGGCCCGUCUUGAAACACGGACCAAGGAGUCUAACGUACACGCGAGUGUGACGGUGGAAAAACCGACACGCGUAAUGAAAGUAAUUGAUGCCAAGCGCAAGCAGCAGCAUCGACCGACCAUGAUCCUCUGGAGAAAGGUUUGAGUACGAGCGUGUCCGCUAGGACCCGAAAGAUGGUGAACUAUGCCUGUGUAGGGUGAAGCCAGGGGAAACUCUGGUGGAGGCUCGUAGCGAUACUGACGUGCAAAUCGUUCGUCGAACAUGGGUAUAGGGGCGAAAGACUAAUCGAACCAUCUAGUAGCUGGUUCCCUCCGAAGUUUCCCUUAGGAUAGCAAGGACAAUUGCGCAGUUUUAUUAGGUAAAGCGAAUGAUUAGAGGAAUCGGGGGCUACUUGCUCUCGACCUAUUCUCAAACUCUAAAUUGGUAAGAACCCGGGCCUAUCUUAAGUGAGGCGUCGGGGCUCAAUGCGUGUCCUUAGUGGGCCAUUUUUGGUAAGCAGAACUGGCGAUGAGGGAUGCACCUAACGUCGGGUUAAGGCGCCAAACUGCGCGCUCAUCCGAUACCACAAAGGGUGUUGGUCCAUCUAGACAGCAGGACGGUGGCCAUGGAAGUCGGAACCCGCUAAGGAGUGUGUAACAACUCACCUGCCGAAUGGACUAGCCCCGAAAAUGGAUGGCGCUUAAGCGCGCGGCCGAUACCCGACCAUUGUCGCGAGAGUGAGGCGGCAAUGAGUAGGAGGGCGUGGGCGUCGUAGCGAAGCCUCUGGCGUGAGCCUGGGUAGAACGGCGUCUAGUGCAGAUCUUGGUGGUAGUAGCAAUUAUUCAAAUGAGAACUUUGAAGGCCGGAGUGGAGAAGGUUUCCGUGAGAACAGCAAUUGGUCACGGGUGACUCGAUCCUAAGACAUGGGGGAAGCCCCUAGUAAGAGUUGAUUAACUGUAGUCGAAAGGGAAUGAGGUUAAUAUUCCUCAAGCUGGAUGUGGGUGUUAUAUGGCAACAUAAAUGAACCUGAGGACGCCGGCACGAGCCUCUGGAAGAGUUCUCUUUUCUUUUUAACAGAUUAGCGGCCCUGAAAUGGGAUUAUCCCGAGAUAGGGCGGCAUAUCUGGAAGAGCGCCUCGCUUUCUGUGGCGUCAGGUGCGCUCGUGACGGUCCAUGAAAACUCAGGUGAGAUAGUAUCACACCAGGUCGUACCCAUAACCGCAUCAGGUCUCCAAGGUU
rnacentral:rRNA from 1 species